rnacentral:hammerhead_ribozyme from 1 species
ACCGACUGACGAGUUCCAGAUAGGACGAAACGCGUGUUCUGGAU